CACCUCUCGGGAUGGCGUCUGGAGAGUUUCCAAUACUCUUUCAGUCUCAACUAUGAGAGGGAGAGACAAGCAGAGGCAUACCUAGUCCAUUCCUAGCUCGGGCAGUGACUAGUAAGUGGAAGGCAAUCUGCUACAAGU
rfam:Ornithorhynchus anatinus chromosome 7, whole genome shotgun sequence.